rnacentral:rRNA from 1 species
UACGUAGGGUGCGAGCGUUAAUCGGAAUUACUGGGCGUAAAGCGUGCGCAGGCGGUUGUGCAAGACCGAUGUGAAAUCCCCGGGCUUAACCUGGGAAUGGCAUUGGUGACUGCACAACUAGAGUACGGCAGAGGGGGGUGGAAUUCCACGUGUAGCAGUGAAAUGCGUAGAUAUGUGGAGGAACACCGAUGGCGAAGGCAGCCCCCUGGGCCUGUACUGACGCUCAUGCACGAAAGCGUGGGGAGCAAACAGG